UUAACUUAUUUAUAGUUUGCUUCAGAAGACUGGUUACAGAAGAGUUUUAUAGGUGCUUUCGGCAGGCCUUUUUCAGCGCCCCUCCCAGGAGCAGCCUGCCGAAGCAACAAGACGAUAAAUAGAACACAAUGGGUUUGGGAGUUUUGCAACUCUGUAAUGAUCCCUCCGCUGGUUCACCAACGGAGA
rnacentral:misc_RNA from 1 species